rnacentral:rRNA from 1 species
UCCAGACUCCUACGGGAGGCAGCAGUGGGGGAUAUUGCACAAUGGGGGGAACCCUGAUGCAGCGACGCCGCGUGGGUGAAGGAGCGUUUCGGCGCGUAAAGCCCUAUCGGCAGGGAAGAAGGAGGACGGUACCUGACUAAGAAGCCCCGGCUAACUACGUGCCAGCAGCCGCGGUAAUACGUAGGGGGCAAGCGUUAUCCGGAUUUACUGGGUGUAAAGGGGGCGCAGACGGCAGCGCAAGCCAGGAGUGAAAGCCCGGGGCCCAACCCCGGGACUGCUCUUGGAACUGCGCGGCUGGAGUGCAGGAGGGGCAGGCGGAAUUCCUGGUGUAGCGGUGAAAUGCGUAGAUAUCAGGAGGAACACCGGUGGCGAAGGCGGCCUGCUGGACUGCGACUGACGUUGAGGCCCGAAAGCGUGGGGAGCAAACAGGAUUAGAUACCCGAGUAUAA